UACGGAGGAUGCAAGCGUUAUCCGGAAUGAUUGGGCGUAAAGCGUCCGCAGGUGGCUAUGUAAGUCUGCUGUUAAAGAGUGAGGCUCAACCUCAUAAGAGCAGUGGAAACUACAUGGCUAGAGUGCGUUCGGGGCAGAGGGAAUUCCUGGUGUAGCGGUGAAAUGCGUAGAGAUCAGGAAGAACACCGGUGGCGAAAGCGCUCUGCUGGGCCGACACUGACACUGAGAGACGAAAGCUAGGGGAGCGAAUGGG
rnacentral:rRNA from 1 species